rnacentral:snRNA from 1 species
AUACUUACCUGGCGUGGAGGCUACCUUGAUCAAGAAGGAGGUUCCACCAGGGUGAGGCCCUUCCAUUGCACUUAGGUUGGGUUGACCCCUGCGAGUAUUCCAAAUGUGAAUACCUCGGGCGCGAAAUUUUUGGUAGCGGGGAUUGCGUACGCGCACAUCCCUA